UUAAGUUCAGCGGGUAGUCCUACCUGAUUUGAGAUCAAACGUUCAAAAAGCUGUCUUCCCCAAGGAGAGACAUCUGUGAGCUCCAGCGAACCUCCAUCACUGAAGGUUACAAGGCAGGAAACCACAAGCGUAGAUAGUUAUCACACCUGUGACGCCACCAAACACUGGCUAGCUGAUCCAUUUGAGAGGAGCCGACGCUA
rnacentral:misc_RNA from 1 species